UACGUGAGGUGCAAGCGUUGUCCGGAAUUAUUGGGCGUAAAGAGCUCGUAGGCGGUUCUGUUGCGUCGGACUGUGAAAACCCGGGGCUCAACUCCGGGCCUGCAGCCGAAUACGGGCAGACGUAGAGUUCGGGCAGGGGAGACUGGAAAUUCCUGGUGUAGCGGUGAAAAUGCGCAGAUAUCAGGAGGAACACCGGUGGCGAAGGCGGGUCUCUGGGCAACAACUGACGCUGAGGAGCGAAAGCGUGGGGAGCGAACAGGAUUAGAACUACCCGUG
rnacentral:rRNA from 1 species